rnacentral:rRNA from 1 species
UACGUAGGGGGCAAGCGUUGUCCGGAUUUACUGGGCGUAAAGAGCGCGCAGGCGGUCGUUCAAGUCGCGUGUGAAAGCCCCCCGGCUCAACUGGGGAGGGUCACGCGAUACUGAUCGACUCGAAGGCAGGAGAGGGAAGUGGAAUUCCCGGUGUAGUGGUGAAAUGCGUAGAGAUCGGCAGGAACACCCAGGGGGAAACCAGCCGACUGGGCAAGUGCUGACGCUGAGGUGCGAGAGCGUGGGGAGCGAACCGG